AACGAACGCUGGCGGCAUGCCCAACACAUGCAAGUCGAACGAGAUCUUCGGGUCUAGUGGCGCACGGGUGCGUAACGCGUGGGAAUCUGCCCUUUGGUUCGGAAUAACAGUUGGAAACGACUGCUAAUACCGGAUGAUGACGAAAGUCCAAAGAUUUAUCGCCAGAGGAUGAGCCCGCGUAGGAUUAGCUAGUUGGUGUGGUAAAGGCGCACCAAGGCGACGAUCCUUAGCUGGUCUGAGAGGAUGAUCAGCCACUGGGACUGAGACACGGCCCAGACUCCUACGGGAGGCAGCAGUGGGGAAUAUUGGACAAUGGGCGAAAGCCUGAUCCAGCAAUGCCGCGUGAGUGAUGAAGGCCUUAGGGUUGUAAAGCUCUUUUACCCGGGAUGAUAAUGACAGUACCGGGAGAAUAAGCUCCGGCUAACUCCGUGCCAGCCGCCGCAGUAA
rnacentral:rRNA from 1 species